rnacentral:rRNA from 1 species
UACGAAGGAUUCGAGCGUUAUCCGGAUUUCUUGGGUUUAAAGGGUGCGUAGGCGGACCGAUAAGUCCGUGGUGAAAUCCUGUUGCUUAACAACAGAACUGCCAUUGAUACUGCCGGUCUUGAGUACAGUUGAGGUAGGCGGAAUGUGUCAUGUAGUGGUGAAAUACUUAGAUAUGACACAGAACACCGAUUGCGAAGGCAGCUUGCUAAACUGUAACUGACGCUGAGGCACGAAAGCAUGGGGAGCAAACAGG